GCAGGCCUAACACGUGCAAGUCGAACGGCAGCGGGGGGUAGCUUGCUACCUCGCCGGCGAGUGGCGGACGGGUGAGUAAUGCCUGGGGAGCUGCCCAAUCGAGGGGGAUACCAGUUGGAAACGACUGCUAAUACCGCAUACGCCCUGAGGGGGAAAGGUGGGGAUCUUCGGACCUACCGCGAUUGGAUGCGCCCAGGUGGGAUUAGCUAGUUGGUGAGGUAACGGCUCACCAAGGCGACGAUCUCUAGCUGGUCUGAGAGGAUGACCAGCCACACUGGAACUGAGACACGGUCCAGACUCCUACGGGAGGCAGCAGUGGGGAAUAUUGCACAAUGGGGGAAACCCUGAUGCAGCCAUGCCGCGUGUGUGAAGAAGGCCUUCGGGUUGUAAAGCACUUUCAGUCAGGAGGAAAGGUGGCUAGCUAAUAUCUAGUUGCUGUGACGUUACUGACAGAAGAAGCACCGGCUAACUCCGUGCCAGCAGCCGCGGUAAUACGGAGGGUGCAAGCGUUAAUCGGAAUUACUGGGCGUAAAGCGCACGCAGGCGGCUUGUUAAGUCAGAUGUGAAAGCCCCGGGCUCAACCUGGGAACUGCAUUUGAAACUGACAAGCUAGAGUCUUGUAGAGGGGGGUAGAAUUCCAGGUGUAGCGGUGAAAUGCGUAGAGAUCUGGAGGAAUACCGGUGGCGAAGGCGGCCCCCUGGACAAAGACUGACGCUCAGUGCGAAAGCGUGGGGAGCAAACAGGAUUAGAUACCCUGUAGUCCACGCCGUAAACGAUGUC
rnacentral:rRNA from 1 species